rnacentral:rRNA from 1 species
AGAACGAACGCUGGCGGCAUGCCUAACACAUGCAAGUCGAACGAGACCUUCGGGUCUAGUGGCGCACGGGUGCGUAACGCGUGGGAAUCUGCCCUUAGGUACGGAAUAACAGUGAGAAAUUACUGCUAAUACCGUAUGAUGUCUUCGGACCAAAGAUUUAUCGCCUAGGGAUGAGCCCGCGUAGGAUUAGCUAGUUGGUGGGGUAAAGGCCUACCAAGGCGACGAUCCUUAGCUGGUCUGAGAGGAUGAUCAGCCACACUGGGACUGAGACACGGCCCAGACUCCUACGGGAGGCAGCAGUGGGGAAUAUUGGACAAUGGGCGAAAGCCUGAUCCAGCAAUGCCGCGUGAGUGAAGAAGGCCUUCGGGUUGUAAAGCUCUUUUACCCGGGAAGAUAAUGACUGUACCGGGAGAAUAAGCCCCGGCUAACUCCGUGCCAGCAGCCGC